UACGGCCAUAUCACAUUGUAACACCGGUUUCUGAACGAUCACUGAAGUUAAGCAGCGUAGAGUCUGGUCAGUAUCUAUAUGGCUGACCGCUUGGGAAUACCAGGUAGUGUAA